rnacentral:rRNA from 1 species
UACGUAGGGAGCAAGCGUUGUCCGGAUUUACUGGGUGUAAAGGGUGCGUAGGCGGCUUUGCAAGUCAGAAGUGAAAUCCAUGGGCUUAACCCAUGAACUGCUUUUGAAACUGUAAGGCUUGAGUGAAGUAGAGGUAGGCGGAAUUCCCGGUGUAGCGGUGAAAUGCGUAGAGAUCGGGAGGAACACCAGUGGCGAAGGCGGCCUACUGGGCUUUAACUGACGCUGUAGCACGAAAGCGUGGGUAGCAAACAGG